rnacentral:rRNA from 1 species
UACAGAGGUCUCAAGCGUUGUUCGGAUUCAUUGGGCGUAAAGGGUGCGUAGGCGGCGCGGUAAGUCGGGUGUGAAAUCUCGGGGCUUAACUCCGAAACUGCAUUCGAUACUGCCGUGCUUGAGGACUGGAGAGGAGACUGGAAUUUACGGUGUAGCAGUGAAAUGCGUAGAUAUUCGCAAGAACACCAGUGGCGAAGGCGGCUCACUGGCCCGAUACUGACGCUGAUGCACGAAAGCGUGGGGAGCAAACAGG